AGUGAACGCUGGCGGCAGGCCUAACACAUGCAAGUCGAACGGUAACACGAAACGACUUGCUGUUUACCUGACGCGUGUCGGGCGGGUGUGUGAUGUCUGUCAGACUGCACUAUUUCGGGGGGGAACUCGUGGAGACAGUAACUCUAACACCGUAUCCUCGCAACGCCUGAAAGCAGGAGCCCCUCGCCUCUUGCCCUCUGGUGUGCCCCGAUGUGGGAUUAGCUUGUUGGUGGGGUAACGGCUCACCAAGGCGACGAUCCGUAGCUGGUCUGAGAGGAUGACCAGCCACACUGGAACUGAGACACGGUCCAGACUCCUACGGGAGGCAGCAGUGGGGAAUAUUGGACAAUGGGCGCAAGCCUGAUGCAGCCAUGCCGCGUGUAUGAAGAAGGCCUUCGGGUUGUAAAGUACUUUCAGCGGGGAGGAAGGGAGUAAAGUUAAUACCUUUGCGCAUUGACGGUACCCGCAGAAGAAGCACCGGCUAACUUCGUG
rnacentral:rRNA from 1 species